rnacentral:rRNA from 1 species
AACGAACGCUGGCGGCGCGUCUUAAGCAUGCAAGUCGAACGGCAAGAGAGGAGCUUGCUUCUCUCCUAGAGUGGCGGACUGGUGAGGAACACGUGGGUAAUCUGCCCUUAAGAUGGGGAUAGCUGCUAGAAAUAGCAGGUAAUACCGAAUACACUCGGCAUAUCACAAGAGAUGUUGAGGAAAGGAAGCUACGGCUUCGCUUGAGGAUGAGCUUGCGUCCCAUUAGCUAGUUGGUGAGGUAAAGGCCCACCAAGGCGACGAUGGGUAUCCGGCCUGAGAGGGUGAACGGACACAUUGGGACUGAGAUACGGCCCAAACUCCUACGGGAGGCAGCAGCUAAGAAUAUUCCGCAAUGGACGGAAGUCUGACGGAGCGACGCCGCGUGGAUGAAGAAGGCUGAAAAGUUGUAAAAUCCUUUUGUUGAUGAAGAAUAAGGGUGAGAGGGAAUGCUCAUCUGAUGACGGUAUCGACGAAUAGC